rnacentral:lncRNA from 1 species
UUUAUUUAUUUAAUCCAUUCAUUCAUGAAAGACACAGAGAGGCAGAGACACAGGCAGAGGGAGAAGCAGACUCCAUGCAGGGAGCCCAACGCAGGACUCGAUCCCAGGACCCCAGGAUCACGCCCUGGGCCAAAGGCAGGCACUAAACCACUGAGCCACCCAGGGAUCCUCUCUAUUUUGCAUUUAAGCACAAAUCAUUUGUAGUGUGGUUUUAAUAAAAUUUGAUGUUAUAGGAAUAUGACUAUGAUAUAAGUCAAAGGGAGAUUGUGCUUUAUUUCAUUCAGAAUUUUACCACGACUUGACACCAUCUCUGAGGAUCCUGUCAGCAGCCGUACCUGGUGGAGCCCAGCCACCAAGAGAACACACUGGGAACAGUCUGCAUUUAUAGCUCUUGAUUCACGGUGGUUUCAAGCAUACAUUUAAAUAUACCUUUUUAGUCUUUAUUCAAAAUGUUAAAUAUAAAAAGAUGAAUCGAAUUGAAGACUUUCUUGUACCUCUUAAAUUCCAGCAAACUCAUAAUCAGAUGACCACUUCAUUGUUUUUUAGCAUGGCUAUAACUGUGCAAUUCCAUAUGUGAAUGUUUCUUUUAUUUCUUCUUUGUAUUGCAGUCAAGCUGUGUGUGUGUGUGUGUGUGUGUGUGUGUUAGUUUUAAUUCUGUGUAUUACGGAUUAUAUUUUCUAUGGAUUUCAUUGAAGGGUAGUAAAGGAGAAUAACAAAAUAUUUAUCACAAAAGGGGCUUUGGGUCUCAUAGGUUUGAAAGCCAAGGCUCUACAGGUCUUCCUUCCAUGUGCAGCUAUCUCACCAUUUCUCCCUGUCUUCCCUACCCUAUUUCUGCCCCUUGCACAGGAAGGAAUGGGCAGUAACAAGAAAUGGUUAGAAGCUAGCGUGUGAAGAUUUUAUUCUGAUUAAUAAUUUUUAAAUAGACGGUUGUAAGUUGAGCAUUCUUAAAUGAUGUCAAUAUAAGUAAGCAUUGUCAAAAGUACAUAUUAAUUAUUUCAUUCAUUAAGUAUUACUAAGUACCUUACUAGUAAGGUACUAAUAAACAGUGUCUAAAUAGCACCAAAAUCAUUGCUGCUUUAAAGAAAAUCUCUUUCUGAAAACCAACCAACCAACAGGGAUUUAACAAGAAUAUUACAAUAGGUGACAAAACAAUUGCGUGAAAUUUUCAACUGGAUAUUUUGGAAGCACUUGCUAACUCUAACUCUAGGCAAGUUAGGUCUCAAUAAGCCAAAUCGGAAUACAUAUGCAAGAAAAAAAAAUAAAGCUAAAUCUUAAAAAGAAAUCACAUUAUGAGAGAUAAAGCAACUUUUUUUUAAUUUUUAUUUAUUUAUGAUAGUCACACACAGAGAGAGAGAGAGAGGCAGAGACACAGGCAGAGGGAGAAGCAGGCUCCAUGUAGGGAGCCUGAUGUGGGACUCGAUCCUGGGUCUUUAGGAUCAGGUCCUGGGCUGAAGGCAGCGCUAAACCACUGAGCUACCGGGCUGCCCCAUAAAGCAACUUUUUAGAAAAAAAAAUAUGACAAAUAAAAUGGGGAAAGACUCUCAUUAUAUCUCAAAUACACAUUUUUUUUAGAAUCGGAAUUACAUGACUGUGAAAUUAGUAUAUUUUUUAAAGCUCUUUGUAUGGCUGGAAUCAAACUCUUCAUGGUAAAUUUGGUAACAGAAUGAAAUACUCCUCUGCAGCUAUUAGAAACAAACUUUACUGUGGAGUUUUUUCCCUUUCCUCUGGCUGCUGGCUAAAAUCAAGUAUGGAAUAGCCAAAGGCAAAGCAGGCUAGGGAAGGGUGGCUAUGUGACUAGGAGCAGGUCGCCUGACUUCUCAAUGCCUGGGUUUCCUUAUAUGGUAGCACCAUAUUAAAUGAAUUAGUUCAUAUUAUGUGCUUAGAACAGUGUCCAACAUUUAUAGUAAGAGGCACAUAGCAAACAGUGUUAUAUCUCUUUUCCAAACCAGAAACAUGAAGACUGUUGGUGGGAACAAUUGCCUAACUUUAGGAAAGGCCAUCUUGACCCAAUUAAAUAGUCACAUGACUUGCUUAAUACUUCAGGGCUCCAGAUGUGAGAGAUGCCAAACAGUCCAAAUGUAAUUAAGAGUGUUUGACAGCCUGCUAAUCCUAGGGUGUUCCUGACUAAGCUGUAUUCAGCUGUUCUAGUUAGAAAAAUGGAAAAUUUGUGUGGAUUUAGAUAUUGGUGUUUCCCGAAGAAAUUCUGAAUUAUCUCAUUGGCAAGCAGCUUCCGGAAAGGUGGCUAUUGACUCUGACCACAGUGAACCCAAGAACUCAUGAUCCUCUGACCCAGAGGAAAAAAAAAAAAAAAAAAAAAAAAAAGAACUCACGUGAGAACUGAUUAGGUGGCAAGACAGCAGGAAAACUAGUUUUACAACCUAUCAGGUGGCUACAGGUUGGUCACAUAAUGUGGGGGAGCAGGAAAAAAUGUGGGGCUACCACGUUUCACAGGGGGCCAUCCGCGCAGAAUACACUGCGUGGGAACGGGUUCUGGUCCUUCACGCAGCUCUGCAGUCCCAGAAAAGGCCUAAUGCAGCUGGGGCACGAGGGCCCAUCACACCACGUGGAAGCUACAUCUGUUUGCCUUCCUUCUCGGCUUUCCGCGGCGUUGCAUAACCACUGACCUUGCCCAGAGAGAAAUGCAAAGGAGGUUUUAGAUUAUGUCAUUUAGUCCUUAGAACUAUCCUACCUCAUUAAAACCAUUGUCUUUACAGGCAAGAGAAACAUAGAUUUAGAGAAGUAGUAGCACUUGAGGUCACAAAGCUAAGUGAGCCUCACUCCAGGCUGCCCCACACCAAAUUCCAUGCUCUCGACCUAUAUGCUAGACUGCCUCCUUGGAACCAAGUACAAUAAGUGUUUGUUUAGUGUUCUAACCCUCAGGGAGCUCCAAACACUCAUGGACCUUGAAUCACCACCCUCUCCAUUAUGCAGAUAAGGACACAGGCAAAACAAUGUGUAAGUCC